rnacentral:rRNA from 1 species
AAAUUGAAGAGUUUGAUCAUGGCUCAGAUUGAAUGCUGGCGGCAGGCCUAACACAUGCAAGUCGAACGGUAACAGGAAGAAGCUUGCUUCUUUGCUGACGAGUGGCGGACGGGUGAGUAAUGUCUGGGAAACUGCCUGAUGGAGGGGGAUAACUACUGGAAACGGUAGCUAAUACCGCAUAACGUCGCAAGACCAAAGAGGGGGACCUUCGGGCCUCUUGCCAUCGGAUGUGCCCAGAUGGGAUUAGCUAGU